AUUGAACGCUGGCGGCAUGCUUUACACAUGCAAGUCGGACGAGUGGCGAACGGGUGAGUAACGCAUCGGAACGUACCGAGUAAGGGGGGAUAUAUAUCCGAAAGAACAGCUAAACACGCAUAGUAUACGAGCGGCCGUUGUCUGAUUAGCUGGUUGGCGGGGUAAAGGCCCACCAAGGAGACGAUACGUAGCGGGGCUGCGAGGAUGAGCCGCCACACUGGGACUGAGACACGGCCCAGACUCCUACGGGAGGCAGCCGUGGGGAAUUUUGGACAAUGGGCGCAAGCCUGAUCCAGCCAUGCCGCGUGUCUGAAGAAGGCCUUCGGGUUGUAAAGGACUUUUGUCAGGGAAGCGGUACCUGAAGAAUAAGCACCGGCUAACUACGUGCCAGCAGCCGCGGUAAUUC
rnacentral:rRNA from 1 species